rnacentral:rRNA from 1 species
CCAACCGCUCGCUACACUGACGGAGCCAGCGAGUACUUCCUUGGCCGAAAGGCCCGGGUAAUCUUGUUAAACUCCGUCGUGCUGGGGAUAGAGCAUUGCAAUUAUUGCUCUUCAACGAGGAAUCCCUAGUAAGCGCAAGUCAUCAGCUUGCGUUGAUUACGUCCCUGCCCUUUGUACACACCGCCCGUCGCUACUACCGAUUGAAUGGCUCGGCCCGUG